GUUUUGAAAUCUAAAUCGAUCCACCGAUCAAAUCAAACCUAAUAAAUUAUCCACAAACAAAGCAUGGUACUUCAUCAAUUCGAAAGCCAAAUCUCUGCAUUUAAUAGCCUCCGAAAGUUUACAAGAUACUAAUGAUGGAGCAUGUUGCCUUCCGUUCCCCCCGCCCUUCCCUUUGAAUUUCUAUCUCCCUCAGUUUUUUGGGGGGGGAUGGUGGCGGGGGCACCAUGGGCGAGCAAGGGGGCGGGCGGCGGAACCGAGCCCUUCCAUCCUCCGAAAGAAAGUUAGUUUUUUUUGGAUGAUACAAAGAAUUGAGAAUUGUGGUGUUUUGAGUAUUCGGCAGGCAAGGAACUAAGGAAAGUGGAGGGCUGCUGCAAGCGCAUUAGCAACCCUUUCAAAACCCUCUCAGAUGAUGCUUUUAGACUACAAAACUGAUGAGAGGCUCUCCCAAACAUAUUCUCUCCUGCUUUCCUUGCCACUACCUCCCGUGGGUCUUCAUUGUUGAAAAAGAGAAAAAAAUUGAACAGCCUAUAUAGGAAAAGGUCUGGUGUUUUCAAUUUUUCACCUUUUCUUGUUUUCAUUGAUUUUUCUAUUUUUUUCUAAUUUUUGCUGUACUUUUUUUGUUCGUGGAGUGUCAAUCAAAUGGGAGGCUUGGAGCAGACGAGAAAUCUCAAUUGGGUUGCAGGCUCGGAGCAACUGAAUAGAGAAGUUUUGAUCCAUCUCAAUCGAGUGAGAGGCUUGGAGUAGACGAGCACAUAGAGCUGGUACCUCCUCCCCCCCUCCAGACCCCUCCGGAUGCAGAAGUCUCAACCUUUGAUGUGGUACGACCUGUCUGUGAGUCGGCCCAUUUCCUAGGAAAGGAUAGAGAGCUUCCAACACCAGCCAAGGUUGUACUCUUCUAAUACCGUCUAUUCCUCGGACUAGUUUAGUCUUUUCUGGAUUUACUAGAUGGAGCUUAACACACUUUCAGGGAGCUGGCCUGGUUGUUCACGAUGCUGGUGCUUAUUGCAUGAGCAUGGCUUCGACAUAUAAUCUUAAAAUGCGACCCCCUGAAUAUUGGGUGGACAAUGGAUCCUUGGUGAAGAUCAGGCAUGGGGAGACUUUUUGAGGACUUAUUGAAGUUUUUCAGCGGUCUCUAAUUUUUGACCCACAGCCAUUUUGUUUAACUGAAAUGUAAUGUUGCUCUCAUACUGUUUAUUUCCAUAUGCAUGCAAUGCAUUGGAAUUGUAUGUGAUAUGCAUAUCAUUCGACAAAGAGUUUGUAUUGAUGUCUGCUUGGUAUCUGUGAUUGAUUAUUGCAAACAGCAGGAAGGUGAGCAAGAUCGGUGGAUGUACGCUUCACGUUAUCUUAUUUUUAUAAGAAGUGCUGUGGUACUAGCAUGACUUUACCGGUCUGCGAGUUUGUGCAUGAAGAACUUUUAUCAUGUU